CUCCAGAAACCUUUUCGUUAUUAAUCACUCUACAAAAGGGAGCUGCUGGCAGAAAGCAAUUUGAGAUAGAAAGAGGGUUAGAAUAUUAGGAAGCCGCUUGAAAAUUUUAGGUUCUCAAACCGAAAAGCAGAGAUUCAUGGAAGUUCGAAAGAGAUCAAAUUGCCCAUCAUGGAAAAAAAAAGUGGAGUAAAAUAUUGCGUAAGGCUUCUAUCUUCUCUUCUGAUGAUCUUCACUGAUACGUUAGUUUGCAGUCCCUAAAAGAGCCUCGUUACUAAAAGGUCUACCAGAGAUCACACACGUGGCUGCUGGUGGCUCGUUCUGUGUUGCCCUCACUGUCACUGGGGAACUCUACAGUUGGGGCUAUGGUGUUCUGGGACAUGGCCGGGAGGUUUCUUUUGCGAAGACGCCGAGAAAAAUUCAAGAGUUUUCCUCCAUCGAUGAAACUGUUACACGAGUGUUUUGCGGCCCCGAUAACACUGCUGUAGUGACAGAUACAGGCGCACUGUAUACCUGGGGGAGAGGAUCAUUUGGAAGACUCGGUCUUGGCUCAAAACAGGAUCAGUGGGUUCCUAAGAAGGUGGGUUUUAAGAGUACACUGUAAAACUAGACUAAUACACUCUUAUUGUAAUGCAAUGAGAGUUUGUUGCCUUGUUUAGUAACGCCGUGCUUGAGAGCUGCGUUGUCAAUCAAUCCCGGCAUUUCUUCGUUGUUUGGGAGACUGUUUUUCUUCGUUAUUAUUAUUAGUUUUUCUUUUUUGAAGAGGGGGAGGACAGUGGGGCAUCAGUGACGUGUGUUCUUUGCCUUUCCGACUCGUUACAUUUUGAUGCUGCUUGUUACAAAUCACAUACUUCAGUACAGGGAAGAAAUAAUGGGAAAGAAUUUCUGUGAAGCUUCGUCAUUUCAGCAUCUCUGAUAAGAAGAAUAAAGUAAGUCUGAGUUGCCUUCUGCUUGUCUUCUGCUUGUGUUACAAGAAGUCUUUCGUGCGAAACUUCAGUUCAUUUCACUUGAAGAAUUGUUUUAGCUGUACGUUCAUUUUCAUUCAAAUCAAACUCAUUUUCAUGCUAAACA